CUUCGGGUUGUAAAGCUCUUUCAGACGGAAAGAAAUCGGGGGUGUUAAUACCGCCCUGGAUGACGGUACCGUCAGAAGAAGCACCGGCUAACUACGUGCCAGCAGCCGCGGUAAUACGUAGGGUGCGAGCGUUAAUCGGAAUUACUGGGCGUAAAGCGUGCGCAGGCGGUUUUGUAAGACAGAUGUGAAAUCCCCGGGCUUAACCUGGGAACUGCGUUUGUGACUGCAAGACUCGAGUGUGGCAGAGGGGGGUGGAAUUCCACGUGUAGCAGUGAAAUGCGUAGAGAUGUGGAGGAACACCGAUGGCGAAGGCAGCCCCUGGGUCAACACUGACGCUCAUGCACGAAAGCGUGGGUAGCAAACAGGAUUAGAUACCCUGGUAGUCCACGCCCUAAACGAUGCCAACUAAGUGUUGGGGAAGGAGACUUCCUUAGU
rnacentral:rRNA from 1 species